rnacentral:rRNA from 1 species
UACGUAGGGUGCGAGCGUUAAUCGGAAUUACUGGGCGUAAAGCGUGCGUAGGCGGUUCGUUAAGUGCGUCGUGAAAGCCCCGGGCUCAACCUGGGAAUGGCGAUGGAAACUGGCGGGCUGGAGUAUGGCAGAGGGGGGGUGGAAUUCCGCGUGUAGCAGUGAAAUGCGUAGAGAUGCGGAGGAACACCGAUGGCGAAGGCAGCCCCCUGGGCCAAUACUGACGCUCAGGCACGAAAGCUAGGGGAGCAAACAGG